rnacentral:lncRNA from 1 species
CCACCAUCAUCGACGCUACAACCACUCCACAUCUACAACCCCUACAAAAAAAUCCCCAAAUUUGUACCCACAUGUCACACGCUGAAUGAAAAUGGCAACGCGCAAUGAAUGUUGCUAAAAGAUCAACGGCAACGCGCACUGAAUGUUGUUAAAAGAUCAACGGCAACGCACAAUGAAUGUUGCAAAAAGAUCAACGGCAAUGUGCAGUGAACGUUGCGAAAAGAUCAAUGGAAACGCGCAGUGAACUUGAAUGUUGCAAUGCUUCAUCUCCUUAAUACCUAUGCCUUCAUAUCAACCAUGCUUCAUCUCUUUUCUGCACUUCAUUACAUAUCCCUCCUCUCCAUUCUUCCUGCUGCAUCUCAUUUUCUACUGUCUCGUUUACUCGCCAUUAUCAGUUCGCUGCUCAAUUCAAUUGGAUAUUUACACAAAAAAUGCAACGUUAAAAAACUGAAUUUUAUUUGAAGAGCGUCUCAUAUUUUGUAGAAAGCAAAUUCGGCCGACCAAAUGGUUGGUUCUGGUCCUACCAAAACUUGUUCAUUUUUAUAUGUUUUCAAAAUUUUUGGGCUUUGGGAUUGAUUCUUCUGCAGAGAAAAACAUAAAAGACAUACUUCAUGCGCUGUUUUGUGGUGGUAGUGGGGACGAUGGUGGCGAUGUUUUGUGGCGGUUGUGGUGGCGGGAUCUUGUUCGAUCUAGCAACGGAGUGUAACAACGUUGUUCUUCUCUACCCAAAUGAAGUUAAAAUGUUUUUUGGAUUCCCGAAAAAUAGGGAUGUGAAAUAAAGGUUCUGAGGAAUUACAAGAAUGUAGCUGAUUGCUUCCUCAGGGUUACUUUUAUGGAUGGGAGAAUGCAGAAACUCAAUAAAAACGUACUUACUCAUUAUCCUUCUGGCAUUUUGAGGGAUAUCACGUCCGAUUCUAAUCCGCAAAGAACUUCAAUGUUCAAAAGGGUGAAGGAUAUACUGAGUAAUGGG